rfam:Halodesulfurarchaeum formicicum strain HSR6 chromosome, complete genome.
GGUGAGGUAGCGAAGCGGCCCAACGCGCCUGCCUUGAGAGCAGGUGGCUAUCAUAGCCUCAGGGGUUCAAAUCCCCUCCUCACCG